rnacentral:rRNA from 1 species
UGGGGAAUAUUGGGCAAUGGGCGCAAGCCUGACCCAGCAACGCCGCGUGAGGGAAGAAGGCUUUCGGGUUGUAAACCUCUGUCCUUGGUGACGAAAAAAAUGACGGUAGCCAAGGAGGAAGCCCCGGCUAACUACGUGCCAGCAGCCGCGGUAAUACGUAGGGGGCGAGCGUUGUCCGGAAUUAAUGGGCGUAAAGGGUGCGUAGGUGGCCUUUUAAGUUGGAUGUGAAAUCCCCUAGCUUAACUUGGGUUGUGCAUCUAAUACUGGAGUGCUAGAGUGCAGGAGAGGAAAGCGUAAUUCCUAGUGUAGCGGUGAAAUGCGUAGAUAUUAGGAGGAACACCAGUGGCGAAGGCGGCUUUCUGGACUGUAACUGACACUGAGGCACGAAAGCGUGGGGAGCAAACA